UGUAUUGGAUGAUGGGAAUUUAAACCUCUUCCAGAGUAUCAAUUGGAGGGCAAGUCUGGUGCCAGCAGCCGCGGUAAUUCCAGCUCCAAUAGCGUAUAUUAAAAUUGUUGCAGUUAAAAAGCUCGUAGUUGAAUUUCUGCUGCAUUACAUAUCUCUUGUUUGAGUUUGUUUUUGUGGCUUAUUUCGGUUUGAUUUUUUCUUUCCGGAUGAUUACUUUGAGAAAAUUAGAGUGCUCAAAGCAGGCUUUUGCCUUGAAUAGUUUAGCAUGGAAUAAUAAAGUAGGACUUUGGUUCUAUUUUGUUGGUUUUAGGUACCAAAGUAAUGGU
rnacentral:rRNA from 1 species